rnacentral:rRNA from 1 species
CCUACGGGGGGCAGCAGUGGGGAAUAUUGGACAAUGGGCGAAAGCCUGAUCCAGCCAUGCCGCGUGUGUGAAGAAGGCCUUCGGGUUGUAAAGCACUUUCAGUGGGGAAGAAAGCCUUGGGGCUAAUACCCUCGAGGAAGGACAUCACCCACAGAAGAAGCACCGGCUAACUCCGUGCCAGCAGCCGCGGUAAUACGGAGGGUGCGAGCGUUAAUCGGAAUUACUGGGCGUAAAGCGCGCGUAGGCGGUCUGAUAAGCCGGUUGUGAAAGCCCCGGGCUCAACCUGGGAACGGCAUCCGGAACUGUCAGGCUAGAGUGCAGGAGAGGAAGGGAGAAUUCCCGGUGUAGCGGUGAAAUGCGUAGAGAUCGGGAGGAAUACCAGUGGCGAAGGCGGCCUUCUGGACUGACACUGACGCUGAGGUGCGAAAGCGUGGGUAGCAAACAGGAUUAGAUACCCCGGUAGUC